GACGAACCGUGCAAACGUUAUUCGGAAUCACUGGGCAUAAAGGGCGCGUAGGCGGCUUUCUAAGUCAGGGGUGAAAUCCGGCAGCUCAACUGUCGCAGUGCCUUUGAUACUGGAGAGCUCGAGGGAGGUAGGGGUCUGUGGAACUUCCGGUGGAGCGGUGAGAUGCGUUGAUAUCGGAAGGAACGCCGGUGGCGAAAGCGACGGACUGGAUCUCUUCUGACGCUGAGGCGCGAAAGCCAGGGGAGCAAACGGG
rnacentral:rRNA from 1 species